UUAAUGAUUGAUGGAAAUUGAGCAGUGGGAUGCAAGCCUAUAUAUAUAUAUAUAUAUAGGCUUGCAUCCCACUUCUCAAUUUCCAUCAAU
rnacentral:pre_miRNA from 1 species